UACGUAGGGUGCAAGCGUUAUCCGGAAUUAUUGGGCGUAAAGAGCUCGUAGGCGGUUUGUCGCGUCUGCUGUGAAAACUGGGGGCUCAACCCCCAGCCUGCAGUGGGUACGGGCAGACUAGAGUGCGGUAGGGGAGAUUGGAAUUCCUGGUGUAGCGGUGGAAUGCGCAGAUAUCAGGAGGAACACCGAUGGCGAAGGCAGAUCUCUGGGCCGUAACUGACGCUGAGGCGCGAAAGCAUGGGGAGCGAACAGG
rnacentral:rRNA from 1 species